GACGUAGGAGGCGAGCGUUAUCCGGAUUCACUGGGCGUAAAGGGCGCGUAGGCGGCCAGCACAAGUCAGUUGUGAAAUCUCCGGGCUUAACUCGGAAAGGUCAACUGAUACUGUGCGGCUAGAGUGCAGAAGGGGCAACUGGAAUUCUCGGUGUAGCGGUGAAAUGCGUAGAUAUCGAGAGGAACACCUGCGGCGAAGGCGGGUUGCUGGGCUGACACUGACGCUGAUGCGCGAAAGCCAGGGGAGCGAACGGG
rnacentral:rRNA from 1 species